rnacentral:lncRNA from 1 species
GGGAUGUUAUUUUGGGCAGUGCAUCUGGACUUGGUUCAAGUGGCACCAGCCAAAUCCCUGCCUUACUGACCUCUCCCCUGGAGGAGCAGGAGCAGCGCUCAAGGCCGCCUUGGGAGGGCUGAGAGGCAGGCUCUGGACUGGGGACACAGGGAUAGCUGAGCCCCAGCUGGGGGUGGAAGCUGAGCCAGAGACAGUCACAGAGGAACAAGAUCAAGAUGCGCUUUAACUGAGAAGCCCCCAAGGCAGAGGCUGAGAAUCAGAAGACAUUUCAGCAGACCCUAGUGACCUCUCUUUGGCUCUUCAGCAUCUACAAAUCUGAAGGACAAAACAUGGUUCAAGCAUCUGGGCACAGGCGAAAUGGGGUUUCGCCAUGUUCGCCAGGCUGUUCUUGAACUCCUGACCUCAGGUGAUCCACCCGCCUCGGCCUCCCAAAAGAACAUACAUAUGAUAGUUGAGAAAGACACAUAUUCUGAUCAUGAAGAAAUAAACACAAGUUAAAUAUGACUAAGCAGAAAGAUGGAAGGACCAGGAACGGUGAUGCUAACUUGGAACCACGAUGCAGGCUCUAAUCUCCUCUACAAUCAUCCUCCCUUGUGAGAAAAAUACAUAAGAUCUAAGGCACAUGAGAUGAUACGCUUUCUGUUUGAGUUUCUCCUUUAUGUUACGCAUACUGAUAAAAUUGUUGACGCCAGUUGAUCUGAAGGUCCCAGCAAGGAGCCGACUCACAGAAGAAUGCAGU